rnacentral:rRNA from 1 species
UACGGAGGAUUCAAGCGUUAUCCGGAUUUAUUGGGUUUAAAGGGUGCGUAGGCGGUCUGAUAAGUUAGAGGUGAAAUCCCGGGGCUUAACUCCGGAAUUGCCUCUGAUACUGUUGGGCUAGAUAGUAGUUGCGGUAGGCGGAAUGUAUGGUGUAGCGGUGAAAUGCUUAGAGAUCAUACAGAACACCGAUUGCGAAGGCAGCUUACCAAACUAUAUCUGACGUUGAGGCACGAAAGCGUGGGGAGCAAACAGG